rnacentral:ncRNA from 1 species
GUGGAGUAAAGUACGUAUAACGAGCAACUUAUAGCCGUUGGCCAGGCACGGUGGCCGGCCUUCGUCUAGGCUGAAACUUAAAGAAAUUGAUGGGAGGGGAACCAGGGGUCUUCUCAGAGGCCGCUAAUCCUCUGGGGGAUCUCCAGUAGCCAUGCCUUAUCAAGACAUGGUGAAUACGUCUCUGCCCUUUGUACACACUGCCCGUCGCUGUUUGAUUAGCAUCUGAUGGCAGACCUCAGAAGGCUUGCCGAGCUGCUUUGCAGUUUGGCGCUGCCGGAAGAGAGAAGCCGUUGGGCGGGUAAUCACACUGAAUAC